CAAUGAAGGAAGCAUGGUAAUAUGCACAGAAAUUGAAUUGGGUCUCUAGGCUUACCCUCUCUGAUGCCAUUUGGCUUUGACUUAGGGGCAUGGUUCUGCAGCAAAACA